UCCUCAUCAUCCUCAUCUUCAUCUUGCCCCAUGGUUCUGAUACAGCCACUGGAUGGGUCCGUAUGACUCAGCCUGGCUGAGAUGGCAUCAGGCAAGAAGGCAUAGCGCAGGUUUCCAUUCAAUGCCGCUCUGGGAUCCCAACAGCACCACACUCCCCAGUGGAUGAGCAUUCCUGUGGGAAGAAGAACAAACUAGAAGUGGAUCCAGGGACCAUGCCAACCUCCUCAAGUUGUGACAAGAUAUACAAUGCAAAGACAAUAUCAUAGCUAAUAACAAUAACAAACUGAGGGUGGGAAGGAGGGGAGAGCUCAAAGGCAACGGACCAGGGGAGCAGCCAUGUUAGUAUUUAGGCUCAGCUGGCAGACUGGAGUGAAUAAGUCUUCACUCCAGUCUGCCCCAGCUAUUCAAUCAGAGUGAACCACAAGGCUCACCCCAAUUCUACUCUUCAUGCUAUGAACGUGUGAAGACUCAGGGCUUGCUUUGAAGGAGAAGCCCAGUGAAGAUGACAGGCACCCACCACUACUAUUAUCCUGCCCAGUAAGUCUGACAGGGAAUAUAAGGUUAGACUUCCUACAAAGACAAAUGAAUGUGUCCUCAAAUUAAUUAAUUAAUUAAUCCUGAAUUAAUACUAGAAACCUAAAUAACUAAAAUGAAGUUUUUGUGUUUUGGCCAUAUCACGACAAGCCAGGACUCGCUAGAAAAGACAAUAAUGCUUAUAAAGUUAGAAUGCCUUGAUGACCGAAACCCAGAACACUUUCAAAUUUUAGCCAUACACUACUCCUGCCCUGUUUCAAGAAGAAAAUCAAAAAGAACAUUUUUAAAGCAAAACAAAAAUGUCUCUGCAUUCAUUGCAUUUGAAUACAAAGUGCUCCUCUUGUUUUCGAUUUCCAUUCCCAGAGCCUGCAAAGCAAUUUCAGACCUGAAUUAAAAGGCAUAAUGGAAGCGAGUCAGACGUCAAACGCAUCGCUCAAUACUGUGUGCUUGCUGCUCUACCUUGCAGAUGCCGGUGACAUUUCCGAGCUGGCAACAGAAGGUGACAGAUCGUGGCGGUGCCAAGAAGAGAUCUUGAUCGGAACGGUGACAUUCAGUGCAAAGCCAACCAGCAUCAAAAGCAGAAGGCAGACGCCUUAAUGAAAGGAGAACUUGGAAUCAAAAUAGCUCUACAUACACGAUGCAUUUGAUGGAGGAUUUUUUUUAGCGCUUUUGAAUUUGACUUCAGAGACCUUGUGUAAAAGGAGGACAUUUGCUUCCAAACUGCAGUGGGGUCUUAAUUCACUAACAAACUGCAGGUAUCCCUCCACAUUUUGCAGCUUUGGAUAUUCAUGGAUUUGAUUAAAUAAUUCUCUCUAGGAAUCUCUAGGUCCCACAAUGCAAUUCUCUGGUCAGCUUCCAGCAGAAAUCAGCCACAAAACUGUGCUGGAAGACCUAGAAAUUCCCAGAGAGGUGUGUGCUUAGAUUUUUUUUAAAAAAGUUGCUCCUUUUCAUGUGGAUGAAUAAUUACUAUAUACAGUAGAGUCUCACUUAUCCAAGCCUCGCUUAUCCAAGUUUCUGGAUUAUCCAGGCCAUUUUUGUAGUCAAUGUUUUCAAUAUAUCGUGAUAUUUUGGUGCUAAAUUCGUAAAUACAGUAAUUACAACAUAAUAUUACUACGUAUUGAACUGCUUUUCCUGUCAAAUUUGUUGUAUAACAUGAUGUUUUUGUGCUUAAUUUGUAAAAUCAUAACUUAAUUUGAUGUUUAAUAGGCUUUUCCUUAAUCCCUCCUUAUUAUCCAAGAUAUUCACUUAUCUUAGCUUCUGCCAGCCCGUUUAGCUUGGAUAAGUGAGACUCUACUGUAGUUUGUUUUAUUUUAUUAACUAGCUUGGGUACCCGGCAUUGCCCAAGUUAUUUGAAAAAGUCCUUUUUUCACAAAAAUGCAUAAGUUUGUGGGUUAAUUACAACUCACAUCAUGCCACAAUAACUUCCUGAAACUCCAUCAGUGGUUAAAGUUUGCCAUGUUGGGCAAGUUCGCUCUCUAGAUGCAUAAUCGGUGGGGUCUGUGGGGUCUCUGGCUGCAGGGUAAACUACAGUUCCCAUCAUGGUGGGUCAGUCCACCUCAGUUCCCCCCAGGAUGUUCAGUUGGUCAUGGUCCCGGUCUAUUGUUGGUGGUGGUCACGGUGUCUCAGGAUGUAGGUGAACUACAACUCCCAGAAAUGAAGGCCAGUUCCCCCAAAACCCUUCCAAUAUGUUCAGUUGGGUAUGGUGGUUUUGUGUGCCAAGUUUGAUCCAGGUCCAUCAUUGGUAGGGUUCACAGUGUCUCUGGUUGUAGGUGAACUAUGACUCCCAAAAAUUAAGGUCAAUCUCUCCCAAACACUUCCAGUAUUCAAAUUUGGAUAUAUGGGGUAUGUGUGCCAAGUGUGGUCCAGGUCCAUUGUUGGUGUGGUCCUUUGAUUGCAAGUGAACUAUAAAUCCCAGUAACUACAACUCCCAAAUGUCAAGGCCAAUUCCCCCCAAAACCUACCCAUAUUCAAAAUUCAGCAUACUGGGUAUGCAUGAUAAAUUUGGUCUAGAUCCAUAAUUAUUUGGGUUCACAGUGCUCUCUGGAUGUUAGCGAACUACAAUUCCUCUAAAUCAAAGUGAAUUCACCCCCCCCCCCAAGCUCUCUAGUAUUUUUUGUUGGUCAUGAGGGUUUUGUGUGCCAAGUUAGGUCCAGAUCUAUUGCUGGUGAGGAUCAGAGUUCUCUUUGAUUGCAGGUGAACUAUACAUCCCAGUACCUACAACUUCCAAAUGCCAAAGCUAAUUAUCCCCCAAAUCCCUCCAGUAUGUUCCAUUGGUCAUGGCUUUUCUGUGUGUCAAAUGUUUUCCAGAUUCAUUGUCAGUGGGGGGUCACAGUGCUGUGUCUUGAUGCAGGGUGAAUGUCGCACCUCAGGUUAACUUCACUUUGCUCAAUACACCAGACUGCACACAGGCUGAAGUCUUUUGUAGUUUAUUAGAAAAUAGAAGAUAAAAAGUUCUUUAAAAGCAAAAAUAAAGUUCCAAAAGAUUGUUACAAAACAAAGCCUUAAACAAUAAUCCAAGAAAUCACAAGGAAUAAAACAAAGUCCCAAUAGAGCAUGACAAAGUCCCAAGAACAUGAACACAAAGGCUGCAAGAUAAUCCAGGAAACGAGAGCUUGUUUCUUGGUUAAACGAAAGUUGCUUUGACAAAGAUUUGUCUCCAAACACACUGCUUUAAUACUCUUUGCCAAACAUGAAAGCAUUUCUUUGGCCUCUGACCUCCUUCUUAUUUGCUAUUCUCACACUCCUUCGAACCCUGAAUUUCAAACGGUCAGCUCGAUCUAAAAAUUCCAUUUCAUCAAGGUCAGUCAGCUCGUUAGCGUCAGCCUGCUUGCUAUCAGACUGAGAACUGUCCUCCUUUUCUGAGUCAUUUGCACCUGGCUAGUUUCAGUAUCAUCAACAUCAUUCCCUGCUGUGGGAAAAACUCCCUGUUCCUCUUCUUCUACAACAGGGACAUUCUGAACCUGAUUUUGAACCUGAAUCCCAUAAUCCCCAUCAGAGUCAAUCUGAGGUUCCAGCUGAGUCACAACAGUGAACUACAACUUCCAUCCUGUUGAGUCAGUCCCACAAACCCCUCCAGUAUGUUCAAUUGAUGAUUAAUUCCUCUCUGUUUGCAGUGAGCUAUAGAAAACAAUAGGAAAGGGCUAUGGGAGAGGCAAUGGGCAGGGUCAUGCAAAUUCCAAACCAAUGGAGAGAGAAAGAAACACUAGGAGGUGUCUUUGGUGGAGGAAAAACAGAAAAUCUAGGAUGAAAUUGUCCCCGCAUGAAAGCCUUCACUUGGGUGGUGGGCAGGAUGGUGUUUGCAGAGGACACUGGCAGAGCUCUUAGACAUGUUUGUGGCAUCCACUAUAACCUGCAAUGGUCACUGGAGAGAGGCCUAUUGGUGUCUCCUCAUAGGUGGAGGCGGGAUCCCUGCCACAUACACACAUACAGAUUUUCACUUUAAUUAUGUGUAUCGAUGUGUAUCCUGCCUCUCUUCCAGCAUGAGACCCAAGGUUGUAACCCUGUUAAAUCAAUGGAUUGCUAUCAAAAAUAAACAUAAUCAACAAUAUACUGUGUCUCUUAUAACUAUACAUGUAUUUGUAGUAUUUUGUACUGUCAGUGGAAUUUUGUGUAUAUCUGUUUUAAUCAAUGAUUCUGAAAGGAAGCUGUUUGUUGUCAAAGGCUUUCAUGGCCAGGAUCACAGGGUUGUUGUAUGUCUUUCGGGCUGUGUGGCCAUGUUCCAGAAAUAUUCUCUCCUGACAUUUCGCCCACAUCUAUGGCAGGCAUCCUCAGAGGUUGUGAGGUAUGGAGAAACUAAGUAAGGAAAGGAAAGAAUAUAUAUCUGUGGAGAGUCCAGGGUGUGGCAAGAGUCCUUCGUCACUGGGAAGCCAGCAUUAAUGUUUCAGUUAAUCACCCUAAUUAGCAUUGGAAAGGUUUUGUCUCUUGCCUGGGGGCAUCCUUUGUUCAGUCAUUAGCUGUCCUCUGCCCUCAGAGUGUUGGUUUGAAUUAGUUCAAGCAGAGUGUUUGUUGAGAAAAAUAUUGAGGAAAAAAUAUUAGAAAAUGCAAGAAUGUUAGAUAUGGGGGACGGAACGGAUUCAGGGUUCUGCAUUUGUUUGAUAGUUUUUGUUUUUAUCUACUUGUCCAUUAAACCUGAAGCACACACAUUGCUGACUUCUCAAAACCUCCUAGUAGCAGGACUCCAAAUGCAGAAAGUUCAUUUUGGCUGGAUCUACACUGCCAAAUAAUACAGUUUGAACCACAUUAUAGGAUCAGUAUAGAUCCAUACAAUGCAGCUCAGCGCAGUUAAAACAAUAUUAUUUGAGUCUUACUGUAUUAAGUGGCAAGUUUGGAUCCAGUCCUUCCCUCUUGUUGAGCAAAAUCCGUAAUACUGAAAUUAUACACAGUUACUGCCUGUUCUGGAGGUUAUCUAGAAUUCACCAUAUAAUUUUACAAGGUCUCAGCUUUCUCUGCCAAAGAGUGCUGAUGCCUCCCCAAACUCCAACUCCCAUGAUUGAAUAGCAUUGAACCAUUGAUGUUAAAAUAGUGUCAGUACAUUCAUUCUACUGUGUUGACACACUCCUAGUCUAUAGAGUAGCAGAAAGCAUGCUAAAUCCAUCUUCAAUAUGAUAUCCUUUCAAAUAUGUCAACAUGAUACUCAUGUCCAACCUUCUCUUCUCUAGGCGAAACAGACCCUAAACUGAGUUGUUGUGUGUAUUCCAGACUGUAUGGCCAUGUUCCAGAAGUAUUUUCUCCUGAGAUAUAUACCUCACAACCUCUGAGGAUGCCUGCCAUAGAUGUGGGUGAAAUGUCAGGAGAAAAUACUUCUGGAACAUGGCCAUACAGCCUGGAAAACACACAACAACCCUGUGAUUCCGGCCAUGAAAGCCUUCGACAACAUAUAGACCCUAAACUACUUCUCAAACAGAUUUAUGGUGUCUGGACCCUUCACCAUUUUUGAUGGUCCUUCUCUGGAUCUCCUUCCAACUCACUGGAAGUCCUUGGAAAGCAAAGGCUCUUCACUCACAGGUGAAAGAAGUGCCUUCUGAUGAGAUUAAUCCUGCAGUCCCAAGAAGGUCCCCUCUUGUGUUUCCAUCAGACGUACCUUGGAGGUGGUGGGACUCUGAAAAGGACCUCUUGUGAAGACCUUCAGAUUCAGGAAGACUCAUGUAAGGGGAUAUGGACUUUCUGAGUCUGGACUUAAGCCAUACUGUGCAUAUAGGUCCAUUAGUUAUCAAUUCUGCAAGGCAGUGGUUCUCAACCUGAGAUCCACAGAAGUUUUUGACCUACAACUCCCAGAAAUCCCAGCCAGUUUACCAGAUGUUAGAAUUUCUGGAAGUUGAAGGCCAAAAAUAUCUGAGGACCUCAGGUUGAGAACCAACACUGUAAGGGAAGGAGAACAAUCCAAUGUUCUCAACAUCUUUGGAGAACACAUCUCUGUAUGCUUUCCAAGCAAAGCUCAGUAGUUUCUCCCACAUCAAUUCCACAGCAACAUCUGUCUUCCAUCAACACUAAAUGGGGUCUGCAUUGUCUCAUCCUCCCACCUCUGGAGUUUUUUGAACCACCUCAAAGUCACUUCUUAAAAAGUUCCUCCAGGACAAGACAAGUCGGAAAGUUAGGAAAGCCAUAGAUAUUGAGUGGGCUGAAGGCUAAUAAAUUUCCAGGAGGUAAUCACCAAUCCUGUCCUGGACUAUGUCUGGCUGGAGAUUUAAGCGAAUUUCAUAUAUCUUUCCCUUUUUUCUAAAGAGGACAAACAGAAUUUAUUGUCCCUUUUACACAUACUGAGCCAAGGGAGUGGACUGCGCUGAGGGCAGAGAGAUGCGAUGGGAUGACAAUUUGAUGUGUGAUCAAAAAUACCUCAAAGCAAAUUUAAGUGAACGGAAGGAGUGAUAAUAAUGCAGUGCUUGUAGAGGAAAAAGCACUCAGGGCUCAUUAGUUUACAGAAAUAUUUUGUGUAGGUCACGUCUGCAGCAUAGAAAAGUUAUUUUAACUACUACAUUUCCCAGGAACUCCAAUGAUGGCCUCUGGGAUUCUGGGAUUUGUAGUCCAAAACUAACAUUUCCAAGUUCUUGUCAAAACCCAGAAGGAUGUCCCAAAUCUAUAUCUGAGAGAACAUCCAAAUUUCAGAAUUAUAACAGGUUGACACCACUUUUGUUACCAUUUUCCAUCAUUGGAGCAUUGGGAUUUAUAGUUUGCUGUUUGAGGGGGGAAAGGAAGGAGCCUAAGACUGUUAGGAAUUGUGGGAGUUGAAGUCCAAACACCUGGAGGGCCGAAGUUUGCCCAUGUCUACUGUGACACCAGAACUCUCUGACAGAGAAAGAUAAAUAUCUCACAAAACUAAAAAAAUAUCAGAACUCCAUAGCAUAGCAGUUAAUGUGGUGUCAAACUGCUAUAAUUCUUCAGUUUGAUGGAAUCCUGGCAUUUGAAGUUUUGUGAGCUGCCAGGCCUUUACUGUAAAUCAGGCAGUGGACUAAAGAUCUUGAAUAUCUCAAUAAACUAUACAUCCCAGGAUUCUGUAGUACGGAGCCAUGAUAGUUAAAGUUGUAUCAAACUGAGACAGCAUUACUACUAUCAUUGUGCCAAUAUCAGAAUCCUGCUAAAUAUCUCACAUUCUAAUACAAUAACCAGGAAAAUUGGAAAACUGGGAGCUCCUGGUGGCGCAGCAUAUUAAAGCUCUGAGUUGUUGAACUUGCAGAUCGAAAGGUCGCAGGUUCGAAUCUGACAAGCGGAAUGAGCGCCCGCUGUUAGCCCCAGCUUCUGCCAACCUAGCAGUUCGAAAACAUGCCAAUGUGAGUAGAUCAAUAGGUACCACUCCGGCAGGAAGGUAACAGCACUCCAUGCAGUCAUGCCAAUGGCCACAUGACCUUGGAGGUGUCUAUGGACAACGCUGGCUCUUCGGCUUAGAAAUGGAGAUGAGCACCAACCCCCAGAGUCGAACACGACUGGACUUAAUGUCAGUGGAAAACCUUUAAGCACUACCUAGGGAUCACAACCAGACACAAAUGAAGACAUCUGCCCUUGUGCUUUGCUACUCUGCUGCUGAAUACACAUGCCCAGUGUGGAAUGCAUCUUACCACAUUAAAACAGUGGAUGUGGCUCUUAAUGAGACAUGCCACAUUAUUACCAUUGGAAAAAUUGUACUGUUUAGUUGGGUAUUGCACCACCUGACAUCUAUCAGGAAGUAGCAGCCUUUUUUUUUCUGGCUACAGCCUUGACCAAGGCAUUGACAUCUCCAGCCCAUCCUCUGUUCGGAUAUCAGCCAGCAAGUCAACUCCUUAAAUCAAGAAAUAGCUUCCUAACACCUGCAGAGAUACUUGCAAAAACACUUCAACAAGCGAGAGUCCAAAAGUGUCAGGUUAAAACCCAGAACCUCAAUCAGUGACUGAGACCGGAUGAGAGACUCCUCCUGGGCACACAGAAGACUGGAUGACUUGGAAAGCACUGAACAGACUGCACUCUGACACAAUGAGAUGCAGAGCUAACCUUAAGAAAUGGGCCUACAAAGUGGAGUCCAUGACAUGCAAGUGUAGAGAAGAGCAAACCACAGACCACUAACUACAAUGUGGUCUGAAUCUUGCCACAUACACAGUGGAGGACCUUCUUACAGCAACACCAGAAUCACUCCAAGUGGCCAGCUACUGGUCAAAGGACAUUUAGCAUAAUGCCAAGUUUUUAACUUUGUCUGUGGUCUUUUAUAUAUUAUUGCUGUAUUCUCAAUUUGCUUCUGACAUGAUAAAUAAAAAUAAAUAAAUCAAACUGAGAUAGCAUUAUUUCUACGAAUUGUGCCAAUUUCAGAAUCUUGCUCAAUAUCUCACACUACAUUACAGUAGCCAGGAAAAUCAGGAAAUGCAGGUGGGGUCCAUGAAAACAAUAAACAAAGAACAAAAACAGAGAAUGUUUUAGAUGCUUAGAUCUGAAGUAAGGUUCUGCAUGGCCCUGAGGUGGCACAUGCAGGUGUCCCCUUCUCUUCUUCAUAUAUUUUAUAGUACUGUGCUAAGAAAACAAGCCUGAUAGAUGCACAAAACCCAAAAAUGUCCAAAAAUGUCAACUAUAUGGGGUCCAGGGGCAAAUUCCCCCCGGCUCCCCAAACAGGUUGCAGCCCCCAUAGACCCCGAAACCUCUAUUUCCUUCUUGUCAAUAAAAAGUGGAGGCCUUUAGGAUAAAUCCAAAAAGCAUUUGUCUGGCCCAAGAUCAUGCAGUUGAUUUCCAUGGGUUGAGUGGGGAUUCAAACUCUGCUCUCCAGAGAUGUAUGUAGCCCAACACUCCAAACUAUAUAAAUGUCAGAAAAGGGUUGACAUAACACUUCUUGCUAAACUGUGCUCGCUUUCCUGUAAAAGUUAUCUUGUCUCCCCUCUCCGCGACCUUUCUUGACAGCCCAUUUUGAUGGGAGAUUAUCCAAAGUAAUUUCGCUGAGAAGUCCCAGUUCUGCAGAGAGAACAGGUAAUGGCAGUAGUCUUGUUGACUGCAAUUUAUUUUGAAUUUGGGAUAAUUGGGAGAGUGCUCUUUCUCCUUCAGCAGUGGAAAAGUGGAGAGUUAGUGAAAUUCAUAACACUGCGGAAAGCCUUUAAUCUGGCAAAAAAAAAAAAAACCACCAAGACAAUUGUUAUGAAAAUUUCCUAGACAAUAAGCAAUAUACAGCCUCUGCUUUGAGAGGGAAGAAAGCCAUGGCUAUGUUCCAGAAGCAUUCUCUCCUGACAUUUCAUCCUGAGAGGUAUAUACUGUAUAUAUUUGAGAACACUGAAAUGCUGGACCACUCUAGCAAUUAUGAUGUCAGACUACACAGAGAAGCCAAUGAAAUCCACAAGCAUGUGGGCAAUUUCAACAGAAAGGAGGAAACCAUGAAAAUGAACAAAAUCUGGCUACCAGUACAGUAGAGUCUCACUUAUCCAACCUUCGCUUAUCAAACCUUCUGGAUUAUCCAAUGCAGUCUGUCUUUUAGUAGUCAGUGUUUUUGUAGUCAAUGUUUUCAAUACAUUGCAAUGUUUUGGUGCUAAAUUUGUAAAUACAGUAAUUACUACAUAAUGUUACCAUGUAUUGAACUGCUUUUUCUGUCAAUUUGUUGUAAAACAUGAUGUUUUGGUGCUUAAUUUGUAAAAUCAUAACAUAAUUUGAUGUUUAAUAGGCUUUUCGUUAAUCCAUCCUUAUUAUCCAACAUUUUCGCUUAUCUAACAU